ensembl:lncRNA
CCGGGUGAAGAUGUGGUGCAUUCUCUUAAUGAACAACUCGUGAAAUCUGAUUUUGUAUUGCUGCGUUAUGGUCCUGUGUUUGUUAAAUGUUGAACUGAAUAAUAUCGAUAUGGUGACAAUAGCAAGUGUUUAUAUGUAAGCAGAUGAGUUUAUCGUUAAUAUAUACAAUUAUAUGACGUGUGAUAUAGCAAUAUAUUUGGUUGCCAAGUGGCUACAAAAAUCUGAACUAAAUAGUUAAGUUUUAUCCUGAAUUUGUAUCAUUGCAGCAUGUAUAGUUCUAACACAAUUUGAAUCUAACGUGAAGAACGAUGACAUGUAACCAAUGACAAAGUUAAGAGGCGUGACUUGCUGGAGGAGCCCCGGCUGCGAUGUGAAGACAGUAAUUAAACCCCGCAGCAUCCGCAAAAGACAGCUGGUGGUUCAAGCGGGGUGUAUAUCGUUUCUGUUGUUGAGCGGAUUUGAACACCGACCGUGUUUGGUAAACAAAUUUUUGGACCUCCAAAUCUUGUUCAAGUGACCGGCAUCUGCGUCAGUUGGACUGGGUGGUCAGACUGUGAUCUUACACAACCUGAGCAGAUACUUUGUAUUGAGGACAGCCGGGUGAUGAUACAAAGUACAUUACCACAAUGGGGUCAGUUACGGACACCCUUCCUUGUGGCUGCACAGCGUGAGGGGAUUUUUGUUUUCUUUCAGGCUUGAAAGCUGAAGGUAAUACAGUCAACUCUUCAAAACUGCGCUGUAUGUAAAUGUGUGUUUGAGUUAGAAUAUUUAAAUCUGAAAAGUGGAUUGUUAUUUACACGUUAAACCAGAGAAAUGGUGAAAGAUAAUGCUAACGACAGUCCAGACACGGAACAGCCAACAACCUCUACAAAUAAUCAAUCGACCAUACCCCAAAAUACAAAUGAACCAACCGCUACUUU